UACUGUCCCCCACGGGAAUGUUUAAAUACAAUUUUAGCAGUGUGCGUCACGUGAGGCCUGGGCCAAAGGACCCUCUGACUUUCUGUGUAAGAGGCCCCUUACACAUGGUGGACACCUGAUAAAUAUUCACUGAAGCCUUGGAACAUUGGUUUGAGCACUGGCCUCAAUUUUUGGAUGAGAGUUGCCCCCAUCAACUGGGAAGGGAUUCAGGACCUGAAAAGUCUUGGCUCUUUAAAACCCAUCAGGCAGGCGCGCCAUCCACACAACGAAACGUCGGGGAAGCUAAGGCGCCCACACCUGGGAAAGCUUCGAUGCCCUCAGAGAGCCGAAGAUGGCGCUUCUGUGAGUCAGCUCGAGGUUAACGCGCUACUUUCCCUUCAAAGGCCGGAUUCCUUUCGUCGCUGGCCCUCAGCAAAGCCUUCCUUCAGAACGCAAGGCCGACUCAGCACUCGGGACAAUGAACAAAUCGCGAGCGUAAAUGACAAAGCGCUCACCUCCCCGCGGGAUUUCCACCCUCCCCUCCCCGCGGGAGCGCGUCUCCCAGGGGUCUGAGCCGCACUCACAGCUCGCCUAAGCCUGAAACUAACAGCGUGGUUUGCCUCAGGCACGCAAAGGAAGCGCUGAGGUGAACACAGCAGACGCCGCCGCCGCCGAACUUUCCGGGUCUCUGAGGCUGCGUUUUGAUGCAGGAGAGACA
rnacentral:lncRNA from 1 species